CCUUCAUAUUUGUAGCAAGUUAGCUUUUUGUUUGUUUUGGUCGCAGACAAGGACUGACGAGGUUCACCUUCAAGAUGUUUUUCUCUUCAGUCUAAAGCUGCUCUUGAAGUUUUGUCUGGUGAGAAGAAACUAGAGACACCAGCUCUUCAGCUCUCUCAGAUCAGAUUUUGAAAGUCAUCUUCUGCAUCCUGGGAGAGGAGAAACAGAAAGAACACUGCAGACAGACACACAGUGACCAGGAGAGGAAACAGGAGCAGGUCGGAGGUGCCGGUGGUCGUCACAGCGCCCCCAGUGAGCACAAUCCAGUCAUACAUCUCUUGUAAUUCCCGGGCUUCUUCCCUGUAUGCUCCACUAGAGGACGGGGUCACUUACAAGGACACAAAGGACACAGUGAUGAGAAGAAGACAGUUGAAGGAGACACGGUUUACAAGAUGAAGCAAUAAAAAGCAGCUAAACAUCAAACUGUGACAAAGCGGUGGCACCUGUGAGGUAAAAGUAGAGGGUGACAACCGGCCCGUCCUCACUGAUGACCUGACAGCGAUACGUCCCCUCAUGCUCCUGCCCAACCGAUUGGAAAGAAAACAGUCUGUCCUCCCCCGCCGUCACCUCCUCAAAAGAACCCAAAUUGGUGGUUUUCACCUGUGACACACACACACAGAUCAGUGAUGCUUCUCUGCACAACUGCACACACACAUUUCACAGACGAAGGAGCCUGAAUGAUGUCUGUGAGCAACGUGUACCUUUGCUGCAAAACUCCAGAUCCUCACCACCUGACCGCGUACGGAGAACGGGGCGUCGCACCACAGCUGGGCCCUGUAGUUGGCCCCGUGGUCCAACCCAGUCUCCUAAAAGCAGCCGUCAGUCUGCAGCAGCCAAAACAUCACUUUGGCCUUUUCCAGUCACUUUCGGGAUUGGUCACUCAUGGCUGCAUGACCAUGUGUUGUUGUGGCUCCCCACACUCACAUUGACUGAAUCUGAGGUAAUUGGGUGUGAAAUGAAUUGCCCUUUUAGGGAUCAAUAAAGUUGUUUGAAUCUGAAUCUGAAACCUCAAGCUGCAAAACUGCUCUUGAAACACACAUUUAUGCUGAAAUAUGUUCUAAUAGUCAUAAUUUCCAACAAUGCCGGGUGCAUAUACAAAAAAAAAAAAAAAAAAAAAAAGAGUACUUCGAGAGAACAUAUCUCCACCAAGAUUGACAUAAAAGACGAUAACGUAACGAGAAAUAUUCAUCUUCAAGUUGACAAACUUGGCUUAAAGGUUUAAUUAUUUUGUUGUGUUCACUCCGUGAGAAUGAAAAAUAUUUUUGUGAAAAAUAAAGAGCUGAUUCAGAGACCACUUUCUUAAUUUACCCCCUUAAAAUUCAUAUUUUUGAUCCACAAAAUAUGGAUCUUUGGUAGGAGUCUUAGACAAAUUAAAUAUAUUCAAAUGUCUCAUAAUGGUAAUACCUGAUCCACUAAAAAAAUGUAUAUUUUCCACAUCGGCCCAAAUAUCACGCUACUAUCGAUUUUCAAGAAAAAGUAUCUGUCGAUACAGAUGAUACUUUAUAAACAUCAAGUAUUUUGAAGAAGAGCACUCACCUCUGUCCAGCAAGCGAUGGCAGUACUGAGUCUUAGAAAACAGAAGUAGUAGAAAACCAGAAAACCUGCUGCUUCCAGACACGCACACGUAAUAAAUGGUGUUGACGGUUAAUCACUAACGUUUAGACUAAAAACACUUUACAAUCGUGCACCUUAAAAGCGUUGCUUGAUGGCGCAACAGCGUGUUUUAGGGGAGGGCGGGGGAUUUCUUGCACAAACAAACGUUAUUUACACUCCAAUCCAGCAGGUGUCAGUAUUUCACCUUAAACCAGGCUGGCAACCGUCGUAAAAAAAAACCAGAAGAAGAAAUAGAAACAAACCACGCUUCGAUACACUGAAUCCUUUUUGGGUUCAUGACUGAGGUCUUCGGUAUAAGCGGUAAAAUAAAAUCUUUAUUUUGGAGCAUUAUACCGUAAUUUAUUAUUUUAUGUGGAUCUGUUCGGGAAUUUUUAAAGAAGCUGAAAGUGCUUUACAGUGAUGUCUGACGUUCACACCGAUGUCAGGGUG